CCCCCACGGCCCCGCUGGCGCGACCCCACUGCCCCACGCCCGCCCCGGCGGGAAGGGAAGGACCCGGGGAACGCAGUGGGUCUGCGGCCUGACCCGUGACCGUGACCGACAGCCCGGUUGCCUGCUCGGGUUUCGUGCGGGGAUCGGGGAUCGGGGAUGGGGAUCAGGGAUCGGGGAUGGGGAUCGGGUGGAUGGGCUGUGACACCCCGCCCCUCCCCUCCCUCGAGGGCCCCACAACCUUUAAAGUUUCUGUUGCCCUUACCCCGCCGGUGUGCCAGGACUGUUGUCUCCGUUGGUCCCCGUGUGCGGGGGCUCCAGGCAGCACGACCCCAUCUCUGCCCCGCCCCUCACCCCGGGGGUAGAUAACUGCCCCAGGCCUCAGGGCCAGAGGAAGGAAGGGGACAUGAGGGCCAGGGGCCCAACUCCAGCAGCUCCUGCCUUUGGAAACGAAUAAACACCUGCUGGGUUGACAAGCGUGGCCCCAGAAACCAACCUGUUUUCACCUGACAACACACACUCGCGGCAACAAUUUGACACCGUGGGCAGAGGGGAAGAGAGACCCACAGCCCCCGCUGAGCACGGAGCCCCACACUGGGCUGGAUCCCAGGACCCUGGGACCGCGACCUGAGCCGAGGGCAGACGCUUCAUCAGUUGAGCCCCCCGAGCACCCCAGCAAUGGCAUUUUAAAACAACCUGAGUUCUGCAACAAUCCGACAACACAGAAAUUCCAAAAAUACUCAGUAA